rnacentral:rRNA from 1 species
AUGGUUCCAUGCUCAAGGUACAUGCGUACAUCUACAUACCAAGAGGUUCUAUUUUCCAUGGGUGUUAUUUUCCUUAUGUCAUACAUCUCAAUCUCCUGCUCCCAACCGGUGAGCUCUUCUUCCUUCUCUGGAGCAUGUACUACUUCAGAUGUGAGUCUGCAGAGCCCAUGUCCUUUUAUAAUGUGCACUGGCUUGAUUUGAAGAUAAUAUUAUUGCAAGCCUAACAUCCAGUUCGCACAUCAUCCUCCCAGCUCUUGUUGUACUAGCAAUGUGUGGAAUGUUGGGUGGGGAAUGAAGACUAUGCAGUGGUUCUUCAACAAGUAAGGCCUGAAGUGUUUCAUUGCCUUUUGAACUGCAUAAGCUUGCUUGUCAAUGGUGGGAUAGUUGAGCUUUGGUCCUUACAUGUUUGCACUCAUGAAAGAGAUGGGAUGUUCAUCGUUAGCUUCGUCUUUCUGAGUGAGUACUACAACUAGUGAGUUAUUGGAAGUGAAGGUGUAUAGCAAGAAAUCUUUCUUGAAAUCUGGGUUGUAUAGUGUAGUUGCUUCUCCGAUGGCCUACUUAAUAUGGGAGAAUGCAUACUUUUCUUUCUUACCCCAGUUUUACACUACAUAUUUUUGAUCAUGUCCUGCAUGGGCUUGACUAUCUACACAUAAUCUAAGAUGAACCACCGGAGCAAGUUUAUCUUGCCCAAGAAGGAAUGCAUUGCUUUCUUGUGGACUUGGUGAGGAAUUUAUGUGAUGGCUUGGACCUAGUCCGGAUCCACCUUGAUCCCGCUCUUGGAAACAAUGUGUUCGAGGAGGUUCCCCUCCAACAUGGCGAAUACACUCUUCUUGGGAUUCAAAUAAUCCCUUAUCUUCGGCAUCGCUUAAAUUUCUUCUUAAGAUGGCAUAUGUGGUCUUCUCAUCCUUUGAAAACAUAAUCACAUCAUUGAGGUAUACCACCAUGCCUUGUCCAAUGAGUCCAUGAAAGGCGAUGUUCAUAGCAUGCUAAAAUGUUGUGCUUGCGUUUACAAGCCCAAACAACAUUUAUCUAUAAACGAAUGUACCGCACAUGGUAGAGAAAAUAGUUUUGAGUUUGUCAGGUUAUGCUAUAGGAACCUGAUUAUAUCCUAAGAAACUAUCAGGGAGAGAGAAAAUCUGUGCCCAAGAUACUAUUUGCAAAAUAUGGUCCAUGGAUGACAUGGGGUAGAUGUCUUUUUUUGAGGCAUGGUUUACAUUCCAUAAAUCAAUAAACAAGUGGAUUUCCUUGGACUUCUUUCAUACAGGCACAAGGUUUAAGACCCAAGUGGAGUCCCGAACAUUGUAUAUGAUCCAUGCAUCCAACAGUUUAGUAAGCUCUUUCAGUAUGAUGGGUUCAAGUGACAGAUGCACUUUUCUCAGCUUUAGUUGAUAUGGCUUGACCCCUUCCUUGAUUUGAAUAAUAUGUUGGAUGAUCCACAUGUCAUAACUUUUCAGGUCAUUGUACAUCCAUACGAACACAUCUCGGUACUAUUUGAACAACCAAGUAAAGGCUUGCCACUCUUGCUGUGUACAACAUGUACCAAGAUUGACAAACUUCAGAUCCUAUUCUGUUCCUAGGUUUAUCAAUUCGUGCUUCAUGGUGGAACUGUGGGUCUUACUGUCCCUUGGUCCCUGGAACCAUUCUUGCAAGUCAUAUAGCUUUUCCAAUGAUGCCACACCUUUUGUGAUAAUGUGGCCUUUCAUGUUACCCACUUCUGCUUGCAGAGAUCAUUCGUGCUCGUCAUCGUCUAUUAUUGCAUCUUUGAAAACGUCAACAAUGGCCAUAAAAUAAGGUAUUUGUUGGUCAUCAUUAAACAUGUGUACGUUAGAUAUGUUUUCUAGGAUGGAUGGUUUGUAGAAAAUUUCAAUAGUAAAUCAAUCCCUAAUCGGUGAUAUUCUCAAGGCUGCAUUUGCAAAUGCAUUGGCAGCUGCAUUAUGCAUAUCCGAGGGGGCCUGAGCCACCAGUAGAUACCACUCUGGAAGAGCUAGAAUUCUAACCUGCGUCAGGACCUACGGGCCAAGGGACAGUCUCAGGUAGAUAGUUUCUAUGGGGCGUAGGCCUCUCGAAAGGUAAGGGAAGCGUGCAAAGGUUUCCUCGGGCUUGACAAAAAUCAGCUCUCAACUGCAAAGUAGAAGAGAGCUUGACUGUAAGACCCACCCAUCGAGUAGGGAUGAAAGUCGGCCUUAGUGACCUGAUGGUGCCGAGUGGAAGCGUCGUCGCUCAACCGAUGAAAGUUACUCUAGGGAUAACAGGUUGAUAUUCCGCAAGAGUUCACAUGAACGGGAAGGUUUGGCACCUCGACGUCAGCUCUUCGCCACCUGGGGCGGUAGUACAUUCCAAGGGUUGGGAUGUUCGCCCAUUAAAGCAGUACGUGAGAUGGGUUUAGAACAUCGUGAGUGAGUUCGGUCCAUAUUCAGUGUGGGCAUUAGAGCAGAGAGGACCUUUCCCUAGUAUGUGAGGACCGAGAGAGGCACACCUCUGGUGUACCAGUUAUCAUGCCCACGGUAGAUGAUGGGUAGCCAAGUGCGGAGUAGAUAACUAGUGAAAGAAUAUAAGUAUAAAGCCCACACCAAGAUGAGUGCUCUCCUAUUCUUACUUCCCUGAGAGACCCUAGUCACGAACACGCCUGGGACAAUGAUAGGUUCUCUAUCCUUGCAGGGGAUGGAGUGACAAAAGUAUUGCGAAUCCAAGAUAAGGUCACGGUAAGACGAGUCGUUUAUAAUUAUGAUAGGUGUUAAGUGGAAGUGCAGUAAUGUAUGCAGCCGAGGCAUCCUAACAGACUGAGAGAUUUGAAC